rnacentral:rRNA from 1 species
GACGUAGGGCGCGAGCGUUGUCCGGAUUUAUUGGGCGUAAAGAGCUCGUAGGCGGCUUGUUGCGUCGACCGUGAAAACCCGGGGCUCAACUUCGGGCUUGCGGUCGAUACGGGCGGGCUAGAGUUCGGUAGGGGAGACUGGAAUUCCUGGUGUAGCGGUGAAAUGCGUAGAUAUCUGGAGGAACACCGGUGGCGAAGGCGGCAUCCUGGGACCGGCAUUGACGCUGAGGCGCGAAAGCCAGGGGAGCAAAGCGGG